GCGCAGCAGUCGCGAAAACUUUGCAAUAAGCGAAAGCUUGACAGGGCUAUCCCGAGUGCCAUCCGCUGAGGAAGGCUUUUACCCAGUCUAGAAAGCUGGGGGAAUAAGGAGAGGGCAAGUCUGGUGUCAGCCGCCGCGGUAAUACCAGCUCUCCGAGUGGUGUGGAUGUUUAUUGGGCCUAAAGCAUCCGUAGCUGGCUGAGUUAGUCCCCUGUUAAAUCCACCGAAUUAAUCGUUGGAUUGCGGGGGAUACUGCUUGGCUAGGGGACGGGAGAGGCAGACGGUAUUUCCGGGGUAGGGGUGAAAUCCUAUAAUCCCGGGAAGACCACCAGUGGCGAAGGCUGUCUGCUAGAACGCGCCCGACGGUGAGGGAUGAAAGCUGGGGUAGCGAACCGGAUUAGAUACCCGGGGAGUCC
rnacentral:rRNA from 1 species